rnacentral:rRNA from 1 species
AGCGAACGCUGGCGGCAGGCUUAACACAUGCAAGUCGAACGGGCACUUCGGUGCUAGUGGCCGACGGGUGAGUAACACGUGGGAACGUACCUUUCGGUUCGGAAUAAUCCAGGGAAACUUGGACUAAUACCGGAUACGCCCUUCGGGGGAAAGAUUCAUCGCCGAUAGAUCGGCCCGCGUCUGAUUAGCUAGUUGGUGAGGUAAUGGCUCACCAAGGCGACGAUCAGUAGCUGGUCUGAGAGGAUGAUCAGCCACAUUGGGACUGAGACACGGCCCAAACUCCUACGGGAGGCAGCAGUGGGGAAUAUUGGACAAUGGGCGCAAGCCUGAUCCAGCCAUGCCGCGUGAGUGAUGAAGGCCUUAGGGUUGUAAAGCUCUUUUGUCCGGGAAGAUAAUGACUGUACCGGAAGAAUAAGCCCCGGCGAACUUCGU